rnacentral:lncRNA from 1 species
UUGGAUGUGUGGACCAAGUAUUCACAUGUGUGUUAAGACACCCAGACUGCACUCCGCUCAGCAGACCCGCAGACACUGGGCACUCAGCCCUCAGUAGGCGACAGCCAGCGAGGACCUUACAGCGUUUAUCAGCAAGAUCAGCAUGUUGCUUUUUUACAAAUUUUGAGGACCAGUGCUUUUAACAGGAAGGCUGUGACACAUUCCCCAAAUUAACAGUCAAGGAACCAUAAAAAUCAUCGACUCGCAAAAAUACUGCCCCCUUCUUUGGAAAGACUCACGCGCACUCCUGCUCGUGCCUCAGCCCCUCUCCACCGUCUCCUCUGCCACGGCCGCCGGCAUCAGUGGAGGAGACCGUCCCCUCUUGGGGUCCUCAUGGUGCCCUUGGAUUUUCCUUCUGUCAUUUCAGAGGCUUGCUUUGAGCACCCAGCUCAUGGGGGGAAACCCCUCAACCUUGGGAGAGGCUGUUACUACUGACCCCUCUCUGGGAUGUUCAAGUGACUCAGGAGGUGGCCUCUGUCUUCCCCAGCUGCCUGUGCGUCUGGAUUCUUCCCUCCAUCCACAGCCUCUUUACUGGCCUCCGUGUCCCCAGGGACACAACAGUAUGGACAUUAGGCCAACUGACAGCCCUAGGACGGCCUCCUAGGGUUCAAGUGAAAGGAAGGGCUGCUCGUCUCUCACAUGGAAUCAGCAGCUAGAAAUGAUUAAGCUGAGUGAGGAGGCGUAUCAAGAGGUGAGACAGGCCGAAAGCUAGGCCUCUGGUGCCAAACAGCCAAAGUAUAAAUGUCAGGAGGAAGUUCUUGAUGGAAAUUAGAAGCGCUGCUACAGGGAACUCACAGAUAAGACAGUGACACUGCCUUGCUGCCGAUCUGGAGAAAGUUUAAUGGUCUGGAUAGAAGAUGAAACCAGCCCCAACACUCCCUCAGGCCCCAACUCCCUUCAGGUCUGUGAAGGCCCAGGAAGCUGCAGAAGAAAAUCAUGAAGCCAGCAGAGAGUGGUUCAGGAGAUGAAGGAAAGAUGCCGUUUCAUAACAUGGAGGGGCCAGGGGAAGCAGCAAGCUGUCCCCAGGAGCUAGCCAAGAUCAUUCACAAAGGUGGCCACCCUACCCAGAAUCACAGCGGAGAUGAGACAGCUUUCUGCGGGAAGACGACGCCAUCUCGGACUUCAUAGCUAUGGAGAAGUCACUGCCUGGCUUCAGUUCAAAGGAGAGACCCACUCCUGUUAGGGGCUAAUUCAGCUGGUGACUUUCCAUUGGAGCCAGUGCUCAUUUACUUUUCCCAAAGUCCUAGGGUUCUUAAGAAUUUUGCUAAGUCUACUCUGCCUCUGCUCUAUAAAUGAAAUAACAAGUCUAGAUGACAGCACAUCUGUUUACAACAUACUCGACUAGAUAUUUUAAGCUCACUGUUGAGACCUACUGCUCAGAAAAAAAAAAAAAGAAGUUCCUUUCAGAAUGUUCCUGCUCAUUGACAAUGCACCUGGCCGCCCAAGAGCUGUGAUGGAGACG